rnacentral:rRNA from 1 species
CCUUACCAACCCUUGACAUCCUAGGACCGGCCCAGAGAUGGGUCUUUCACUUCGGUGACCUAGUGACAGGUGCUGCAUGGCUGUCGUCAGCUCGUGUCGUGAGAUGUUCGGUUAAGUCCGGCAACGAGCGCAACCCACAUCCUUAGUUGCCAGCAGUUCGGCUGGGCACUCUAGGGAAACUGCCCGUGAUAAGCGGGAGGAAGGUGUGGAUGACGUCAAGUCCUCAUGGCCCUUACGGGUUGGGCUGCACACGUGCUACAAUGGCAGUGACAAUGGGUUAAUCCCAAAAAACUGUCUCAGUUCGGAUUGUUCUCUGCAACUCGAGAGCAUGAAGUCGGAAUCGCUAGUAAUCGCGUAACAGCAUGACGCGGUGAAUACGUUCCCGGGUCUGUACACACCG